GCAACAGUGGCUCAGUGGUAGAAUUCCUGCCUUCCAUGCAGGAGACUCGGGUUCGAUUCCCAGCCAAUGCA
rnacentral:tRNA from 1 species